rnacentral:tRNA from 5 species
CGCGGGAUGGAGCAGUUGGUAGCUCGUCGGGCUCAUAACCCGAAGGUCACAGGUUCGAGUCCUGUUCCCGCAACCA